AUUGAACGCUGGCGGCAGGCUUAACACAUGCAAGUCGAGCGGAGCGGCGGACGGGUGAGUAAUUCCUAGGAAUCUGCCUGGUAGUGGGGGAUAACGUCCGGAAACGGGCGCUAACACCGCAUACUCCCAGCUGAGCCUAGGUCGGAUUAGCUAGUUGGUGGGGUAAAGGCCGACCAAGGCGACGACCCAUACCUGGUCCGAGAGGAUGAUCAGUCAAACUGGAACGGAGACACGGUCCAGACUCCUACGGGAGGCAGCAGUGGGGAAUAUUGGACAAUGGGCGAAAGCCUGAUCCAGCCAUGCCGCGUGUGUGAAGAAGGUCUUCGGAUUGUAAAGCUCUUUAGGUUGAUAGGCGUUACCAACAGAAUAAGCACCGGCUAACUUCGUGCCAGCAGCCGCGGUAAUUC
rnacentral:rRNA from 1 species